rnacentral:rRNA from 1 species
UGUAAAGUUGUUCUAGUUUUGUAACUAAAAUGGUUUGGCAGUGAGCGAUUCUUAUUAGGGGAAUAUGCAUAGUGAAGGAUGGUCCACCUAUUAGUUUACUCUUUUUAUGUUGGUGUAUGUCUGGUUUGAUAUUAUUGUUGAAUAAUUUAAGUUUGUGUAGUUUUAGUUAAGCUAAGUCUAUGUGCUGCUUAUUGGAGUUUUUGUGUGUUACAUUAAUAAGGGUGUUAUUGUAAGAUGAUGUGAUUUAGGAC